rnacentral:ncRNA from 1 species
AAGCCCUGAUGUGUGUGAGAUUACCCGCUGAAUUUAAGCAUAUAAGUAAGCGGAGGAAAAGAAACUAACUAGGAUUCCCUUAGUAAUGGCGAAUGAACAGGGAUCAGCUCAGUGCCAAAUCGGAAUCACUUGUGGUUCUGAAAUGUGGCUUGAAGGCAGUACCAGUGGCAUCGCGGACGAAAGUCUCUUGGAAAAGAGCGUCAUAGAGGGUGAGAAUCCCGUGAGUCGUUCGCCGUUUGUCACGUACGGUCUGCGUUCUAACGAGUCGCGUUCCUUGGGAUUGGAGCGUAAACGGGUGGUAAAUUUCAUCCAAAGCAAAAUAUAUACUCGAGACCGAUAGCACAAAAGUACCGUGAGGGAAAGGUGAAAAGAACUUUGAGAAGAGGGUUAAAUAGUGCCUGAAAUCGUUGAGAAGGAAGCGGAUGCCGCCGUUGCAUAUGCUGAUUGUAGGAUUGCUGCUCGCUCCUGUCUUCUGCUACUCAUUCACAGACCUGGUCGUGUUGAGCAGUUGUUUGGCAGAUGUUAGUGGUGUUUCCUACUUUCAGUCGUCAGCAUCACUGGCUGAGUGGAAAUAAUCCUUGGAUGCUAAUUGGUUCGCUAUCUGUGAAUUGGUUGCUUCCUUGCGAUACUCACUACUCGGUCAGUGAGGAAGUGCGUUUGCUGGUCAACGAGCUUUCUAACUGUCAUUACCCUGCGCUUUUCGAUUCGUCGAGUGGCCAGGAUGUGGCUUUGAGAUUGUUCGCACUUAGUAAUCGCGAUGCUGGCUUCCAACGGUUGCCUCCGGCCCGUCUUGAAACACGGACCAAGGAGUCUAACGUAUGUGCGAGUGUGUGAGUGGCAAACUUAUACGCGUAAUGAAAGUGAGGCCGUAUGGCCAUGUUGGGGUCACCAACAACCGACCUUGAUCUUCGGGAAAGGUUGAGUAUGAGCAUAU